rnacentral:rRNA from 1 species
AAUGAACGCUGGCGGCGUGCUUAACACAUGCAGGUCGAACGAGGCGGGAGGGGGCAACUCCUCCCAGUCGAGUGGCGGACGGGUGAGUAACACGUGGGUAACCUGCCCGGGUGUGUGGAAUACCUCGGGGAAACUCGAGCUAAUACCGCAUGACAUCUUCGAGACGUCGGUCUUGGAGAUCAAAGCGGGGCCGCAAGGCCUCGCGCCCC